GAUGAACGCUGACAGAAUGCUUAACACAUGCAAGUCAACUUGAAUUUGGGUUUUUAACUUAGGUUUGGGUGGCGGACGGGUGAGUAACGCGUAAAGAACUUGCCUCCCAGCUAGGGACAACAUUUGGAAACGAAUGCUAAUACCUAAUAUUAUGAUAAUAGGGCAUCCUAUAAUUAUGAAAGCUAUAAGCGCUGUGAGAGAGCUUUGCGUCCCAUUAGCUAGUUGGAGAGGUAACGGCUCACCAAGGCGAUGAUGGGUAGCCGGUCUGAGAGGGUGAUCGGCCACAAGGGGACUGAGACACGGCCCUUACUCCUACGGGAGGCAGCAGUGGGGAAUAUUGGACAAUGGACCGAGAGUCUGAUCCAGCAAUUCUGUGUGCACGAUGAAGUUUUUCGGAAUGUAAAGUGCUUUCAGUUGGGAAGAAACAAAUGACGGUACCAACAGAAGAAGUGACGGCUAAAUACGUG
rnacentral:rRNA from 1 species